rnacentral:rRNA from 1 species
GACGUAGGGUGCGAGCGUUGUCCGGAUUUAUUGGGCGUAAAGCGCACGUAGGCGGUCCGUUAAGUCGGAUGUGAAAGCCCCCGGCUCAACCGGGGAAGUGCAUCCGAAACUGGCAGGCUAGAGUACGAAAGAGGGUCGCGGAAUUCCCGGUGUAGAGGUGAAAUUCGUAGAUAUCGGGAGGAACACCGGUGGCGAAGGCGGCGACCUGGGUCGAUACUGACGCUGAGGUGCGAAAGCGUGGGGAUCAAACAGG